CAUUUAUCAGUACUAGAAACUUCGCACAUCUUUUCCAGUCUACAAACUACAAAUUCACAGGUGGUUGGUGUGUUUACAUCUCUCCCCGGAGGAAAAAAAACUAAAGGAACCCAAUGAAUGUAGUGACACCCGCAGUUUGUUUGCAGGAUUCGAGAGGAGGGACAGGAGGAGCCGAAGGAGAAGUACCCGAGAAAACGACACGUUAUCUGGGCUCUGGGGGCCGCAGCACCGGGCGAAGACUGGCGCACGGGAGGCGUCGCGGAAGAGGACGGCCCUGAAAGAAUUGGAUGAUGUCAGCUUGCACUGAUAACACAGAGAGAUGACACAGAGAGAGAGAGAGAGGAAUCA